rnacentral:rRNA from 1 species
CACGUAGGGGGCAAGCGUUGUCCGGAAUUAUUGGGCGUAAAGAGCUCGUAGGCGGUCUGUCGCGUCGGAUGUGAAAACUCGGGGCUCAACCCCGAGCCUGCAUUCGAAACGGGCAGACUAGAGUUCGGUAGGGGAGACUGGAAUUCCUGGUGUAGCGGUGAAAUGCGCAGAUAUCAGGAGGAACACCGGUGGCGAAGGCGGGUCUCUGGGCCGAUACUGACGCUGAGGAGCGAAAGCGUGGGGAGCGAACAGG